rnacentral:rRNA from 1 species
GACGAACGCUGGCGGCGUGCUUAACACAUGCAAGUCGAACGGAAAGGCCCGGCUUUUGUGGGGUGCUCGAGUGGCGAACGGGUGAGUAACACGUGAGUAACCUGCCCUUGACUGUGGGAUAACUUCAGGAAACUGGGGCUAAUACCGGAUAGGAGCUCCUGCUGCAUGGUGGGGGUUGGAAAGUUUCGGCGGUUGGGAAUGGAAUCGCGGCUUAUCAGCUUGUUGGUGGGGUAGUGGCUUAGCAAGGCAUUGACGGGUAGCCGGCCUGGUAGGGUGACCGGAUACACUGCGAUUGGGAUGCGGCACAGACCACUCCGGGAGGCAGAGGAGGAGAAUAGUACACUAUGCGCGGAACGCUGGCGUAGCAACGCCGCGCGGGGGAAGUCGGGAAUCGGGUUGGAUACCAAUUCUGUUUGUGACGAAAUGUGAGUGACGGUAACGGGUAAAUAAGCACCGGCUAACUACGUG